UACGGGGGGAGCAAGCGUUGUUCGGAUUUACUGGGCGUAAAGCGCACGUAGGCGGAUCGUUAAGUCGGGGGUGAAAUCCUGGAGCUCAACUCCAGAACUGCCUUCGAUACUGGCGAUCUCGAGUCCGGAAGAGGUGAGUGGAACUCCUAGUGUAGAGGUGGAAUUCGUAGAUAUUAGGAAGAACACCAGUGGCGAAGGCGGCUCACUGGUCCGGUACUGACGCUGAGACGCGAAAGCGUGGGGAGCGAACAGG
rnacentral:rRNA from 1 species